AUUAAUAAGCGGAGGAAAAGAAACCAACCGGGAUUCCCCGAGUAAGGGCGACUGAAACGGGAAGAGCCCAGCGCAUAACCUCGCGGUCCUGGUCGACCGUCGAGGGGUGUUGCGUAUCGGCGGAUUCAGCCCGCUCUGGCCGCGCACCGUCUAAGUCAUUUGCUUGAGAGCAGUCCCAAGGAGGGUGGUAGGCCCGUGUGACGGUACCUGUGCAGGGUAGCAAUUGGUCAGAGCGGUGGAAUCUCGCCGGAGAGUCGGGUUGCUUAGUAAUGCAGCCCUAAGCAGGUGGUAAACUCCAUCUAAGGCUAAAUACUACCACGAGUCCGAUAGCGAACAAGUACCGCGAGGGAAAGUUGAAAAGGACUUUGAAGAGAGAGUUCAAAAGUACGUGAAACCGUUAGAGCCUAAAAGCGGGUGGGAACUCGAAGGUCGAAAGAGGGGAUUCAGGCCGACAGGGACGAGCGCUGGCGGUGCGCGCGACGCAAAGAGAACCUUAGAGAAUAAUGCGUCGCCGUCCGCCAGCAGCUCUUAUCCGUCAGGUCUCACUUCCACCUCCGGUAGGUCGUCGCGACCCGUUGCUGGGAUCCCUGGAGCCUCUGCGCGCGGAGCUCGCUCUCGCGGGGCGGUUGUCGGCGGAAUCCCGGCGACGGUCGUAAAAGGGGGGGUUGGCUGGCGGCGCUUCGGCGUCGUCGUCGCCUCUCUCGCGACGAGAAACGAUCGGUGUCCCACCCGA
rnacentral:rRNA from 1 species